UACGUAGGAGGCAAGCGUUGUCCGGAUUUACUGGGCGUAAAGGGCUCGCAGGCGGUUCACUAAGUCUGACGUGAAAUCUCCCGGCUUAACUGGGAGGGUGCAUUGGAAACUGGCGAACUUGAGGGCAUCAGAGGAGAGUGGAAUUCCCGGUGUAGUGGUGAAAUGCGUAGAUAUCGGGAGGAACACCAGUGGCGAAGGCGACUACCUGGCCUGUUUCUUGACGCUGAGGCGCGAAAGCUAGGGGAGCAAACGGG
rnacentral:rRNA from 1 species